rnacentral:tRNA from 1 species
GCGGGCGUGGCGGAAUUGGUAGACGCGCUAGCUUGAGGGGCUAGUGAGCAUUACGCUCGUGGAAGUUCAAGUCUUCUCGCUCGCACCA